rnacentral:rRNA from 1 species
AGAGUUUGAUCCUGGCUCAGGACGAACGCGGCGGCGUGCCUAACACAUGCAAGUCGAACGGGGUCCAAGGAGUGCUUGCACUCCUGAAGACCUAGUGGCGAACGGGUGAGUAACACGUGAGAAACCUGCCCCAGACUCUGGGAUAGCCCAAGGAAACUUGAGCUAAUACCGGAUAUUCUCCUUUGGUCGCAUGGCCAGUUGAGGAAAGUUUUCCGGUCUGGGAGGGUCUCGCGGCCUAUCAGCUAGUUGGCGGGGUAACGGCCCACCAAGGCUACGACGGGUAGCUGGUUUGAGAGAACGAUCAGCCACACUGGAACUGAGACACGGUCCAGACUCCUACGGGAGGCAGCAGUGGGGAAUCUUGCGCAAUGGGCGAAAGCCUGACGCAGCAACGCCGCGUGCGGGAUGAAGGCCUUCGGGUUGUAAACCGCUUUCAGCAGGGACGAAAAUGACGGUACCUGCAGAAGAAGCUCCGGCUAACUACGUGCCAGCAGCCGCGGUAAUACGUAGGGAGCAAGCGUUGUCCGGAUUUAUUGGGCGUAAAGAGCUCGUAGACGGUUCCGUAAGUCGAGUGUGAAAAAUCUGGGCUCAACCCAGUGAAGCACUCGAUACUGCGGUGACUAGAGUACGGUAGAGGGGUGUGGAACUUGUGGUGUAGCGGUGAAAUGCGCAGAUAUCACAAGGAACACCAACGGCGAAGGCAGCACUCUGGGCCGGUACUGACGCUGAGGAGCGAAAGCGUGGGGAGCAAACAGGAUUAGAUACCCUGGUAGUCCACGCCGUAAACGUUGGGCACUAGGUGUGGGGAGGAAUCAACCCUUUCCGUGCCGUAGCUAACGCAUUAAGUGCCCCGCCUGGGGAG